CUAAGCACUAAGCAACAGACUCAUCCAAAGCAAUUCCUUGUCUGAGUCAAGGCCAUGUCAAUGUAUUAACACUCUGUUUACUUCAGACCAAAGUUCAGAUGAAUCAGAGAACAUCCAUGUGCCUCUGACUUCCACUUCAUGAUGCUCCUUUGGUUUAGUUAUUGAGGGAGACCCUGGCCCAGAAAACUCUAAGGAUUGAUUGCUCUUGAAGGCACAAGAAAUCACAAUUGCAAUUACCUGGCCCCAGAAGAUAUGUGUGGAUGUUGGUUUUCUGCGUGGGGCAAGCAUGCAUGCAGCAUGAAACUACAUACCCCAAGUCAGAGCCAACUCAUGGAGGCUAGCCCCUAAGAGCAGUUAUUGAUGCAGCCUAUGGC
rnacentral:lncRNA from 1 species